AGAUAAAAAAAUCGAAUACGAUUCCUAUAUUCUGUCCAGGGAAAUGGCUCUUGGAGAGAGCCGUGCGCUAAAAGUUGGCAUUUUUGUAGGCUUUUGAUGUCCUACAUACCAAAGUAUAGAGCGCUCGAUCUGUUUUUCCACCGC
rnacentral:sRNA from 1 species